UCAAUCUGAUAUUGAAGUGACGAUUUUCUUAUGGAGUCGAGCAUCUAAACCCUAAAGUCAAUUUGCUUCAGAUUCAGAAUUUUUCUCAGGAAAGAACAAAAGAUUCUAUUAUGUCAGCUUCAUGAGUAUCUAUGCAAUUCCCUUUGAAGGCCCGUGGAUCUGUUCCUUCCUCUGUUCCUUUUGAGCCACCAAGAAUAGGAUUCAGUGAUUCUCAAUGUCUUACAAAAGAGCCAGAGUUCAUGAUGGUUUCUUCCCGGUAUAACUCGGAUGUGAACGACUGGUACAAGCCCUCAUGUUAGGAAGCAAAGCAGCAGAUCUUUGAAAGAUGGUGGAUGACUAAAGAAUUUCUGGAGAACGGAAAUGCUUUUGGGAGCAGAAGCAGAACACUUGGUGAAAUGCUUGCUAUGCCCGAUCAUGCUAAACGUGCAAACCUUCGUGGUCCUUUUGGCAUUAGCAGUAGAGAUGGCUGGAAAAAUGGGGGUGUUGGAGAGUCGCGAUCACAGUCGUAUUCUACACCUGUUGGAAGUCCUAUAACCAAGACUACUCCCAAAGCUUUAGAUGUUGAUUCGCAUAUGAGCACGAGACCAGUGUUUCCUUGGUCAAGACGGAAGGAUCCUAUGACAUCAUCCUAGUUGAUCAGUGGAAUGACAUCAAGGAUAGGAAAGGGUCUACAGAGGAUUUUGUGGUACCCGAGUCAUCAAUGUACUCGACUGCAUCUCAAAGCAUCGUCUCUGAUAUGGUGGUUGCCUUAGAAACUCCAGAAGCUGCCAAUACUACUGAAAAUCAUACCAAGCACUGGCUCGAAUCAAUGGACUGCUCUAUGCCGAAGAAAGACCGUGAUUCUACUUUUUGUAUCCCUGAUGCUUGGAGUCAACAUGUUCAAUGUUGUUUUAAGUUUCCAACUAAUAUUAGUAUUAAUUGCAUUUUAGAUAUAAUAAUCAAACUGUAUUGCUAAAUUCAAUAUAUAAUCUGCAUUGAUAUGGUUGAAGUGAAUUACAUUCUUCUGCACUGUACUUUGUGAUCGAGACAUUGAUGUUUUAAUUUAUUUUGAUUCCGCUC